GUUUGAGGUCUUAUAAGGGAAACUGAAGGGAAUUGUGUGUUCAACAGGAUGGCUUAGACCUGCCCAACUUCUGAGAAUUGACGCAAAGUGGGCAAUCCAGAUGUAUCACUUGACUUUCUGACUACUGGGAGAAUUUCCCUUCAUCAUUGCACACCAGGGAUAUCCCUCAGAGAGAAGAGAUCAAAAGAAGGAUGAUCCCCCCACAGAUGUGCAAGUGAGUAAUUCGGUCCAGAAGGAAACCAGGCCCCCUCACAGUGGUGAGAGAAGACAGCACCAGCCAGCCUUGUAGCCUGAGAAGCUGUCUCCUCACCAGCUUUCUCCUCACUAACUCUUCAAAGAUCCGGUUGAUACAAAAUGCACAUGCUAAAAUAUGAUUCCCCAGUCCUGACCAAGCUGAUGUGGUCUUCUCCAAGUCCCCAGUCCUGACCAAGCUGAAUCUCCUUUGUCACUCAUGGGGCAACAGGGACUUACCUGCCAGUGCAGGAGAAAGGAGAGAUCCUUUAGAACAGGAGCUAAGAUGCCAGGAGCUCAUGCAAAAUGCUUGAAGAAAGGGGUUAGCCAGAAACCAAACUGGGAGUUGAUGCCCAGUUUAGGAAGGGUUCAAAUCGAGGAGUCAGAAGCAGCAAAUUCUACAUCAGAUUCAAAAUUCUUAACUGGAAGAAUAAUAACAAGUCAAAUCAAGUUGGGCUCAAAAGGAAUAUAGGGGCAGAAGAGGUGAUGCGCAGAUGGGUGUGCCUGGCCGAAUGGGGAGGGUAGGCACAGGCAGCGCACACCAUUGCUUUCUUUUUUAAAGAUUUUAUUUUUAAGAGCAGUUUCAGGUUCAAAGCAAAGUUAGAAGUACCACGAUUUUCUCCAUAUACCCCUGUACCUACACACGCAUAGCCCCCUCAUUAUCAAAAUCCCCUAUCAGAGUGUAAUAAAUGACAAUGAACCUACAUUGGACACAUCAUAAUCACGCAAAGUCCUGGUGUACAUUAGCUUUCACUCUUGGUGUUGUACAUUCUAUGAAUUUGGACAAAUGUGUAAUGGCAUGUGUCCACUGUUAUAGUAUCAUACAGAGCACUUUCACUGCCACAAAAAUUUUCUGUGCUCUGCCUAUAGUUGGGGAUCAGAAACCAAUAUCCCAAAAUAUGGCAUUUUGACAUGCUGAACUUAAGAAGCUUUAAUGUCUCUCUGACCUUCCCACCACCUCUUCUGCCCCACUUUCUUUCCCAAAACCUAGGAUUAUCUUGUUCCCUUAUCUGCUUAAAGUCCGAACCUGCCAAAGAAGAAAACAAUGACCUCUGGCUCCUUCCCUGAGUUUUCAUUAACUGAACCUAGAUUCCAGGAAAAAAGAUUGAAGUCUGUCAACACACCUGCACAGACUUUUAUCACAAACCAUUGUCCACUCUGUGAACCCAACAGAUUUUGUCCCAGACAACUGUAUUCUCUUCAAGCCCAUUGAAUUCUCCCUAGGAAUCAUGCAUUGCCCCUCAACAGAAUUCCUCGUGUCCCUACUCACAUAGUUUGCUUUGCCAGGAUCCUAAGAUUUCUUGGAAAACCUUAGGACCAGGAGGUAUUCUUGUGGACUCAUUCUGCUUUUCUGUAACUUCAAGAUGGUGUAUAAGCUUCUGCACCCCAGUGGGGGGUUGGAGUAAUCACUGUGUCUCCUGUGUGAAAGUAAACAAAUUUGUAUGUCUUUUUUCCAAUUAAUCUACCUUCGGUGAGUUGAUUUUUUAGUGAAACUUCAGAGGGCUCUUUGACCCCUACACUAUUUAUCCCUCCCGCUCCCUUCAGCCCGUAACAACCACUGAUCUUCUUACUGUCUCCACAGUUUUAUCUUUUCCAGAAGGUCAUAUAGUUGAAAUAUUACAGAGCAUUACCUUUUCAGAUUAGCUUCUGUCACUUAGUAAUAUAUAUUUAAGAUUCUUCCAUGUCUUUUCAUGGCUUGAUAGUCCAUUUCUUUUCAGUAUUAAGUGAUAUUCCAUUGUUUGAUGUACCACAAUUUAUCCCUUACCUACUGAAGGAAUACCUGGUUGUUUCCAAGAUUUACCUGGCCACCUAUGGAAUACUGUAAUUUCCAAAACUGGCUGUAAGGUAUUUCCUACUAUUCUUGCAUAUUGCAGUUGCAUAAGAAUUGCGUCCUAAGGUUUUCCAGAAAUUUGGCACUUCUCCAUCAAGACAUGAAUUCUACUUCCUCUUAAGUCUGGGCAGAUUUGUGACUGACUGGUAACCACAGAGCAUGGUAGAAAUUACACAGAGUGAUUUCUGAGGCUAGGUUAUAAAUGAUGAAGCUCAUCUCCCUCACUGGAACAUAGGCAUUGAGUCCUGAGCCACCAAGCAAGUGUCCAACUGCCCUGAAACUGCCAUGUGGUGAGGAAGCCCAAACUUGAUGUGAUUUCACCUCUUUUGCCCCUAUUCCUUUUGUGCCCAGCUUGAUUUGACUUGUUUUUAUUUUUCUAGUUAAGUGAAAAGAUAGCAAGGGGAAGCACUGAAGCUGCAUCCUGAGUGAGACAUGCCCGGCCACCGUGCAGCCACCCACCUCACCCUCAGCCUACUCUCCUCCACCCCCAACCCUUGUACUUUUGUUGCUCCAACCACUGUCUGGUUACAAUCAGAGGAGAGAUUCCAAGACAGUAGCACCCAGCUAAACCCUUCCUGAAUUCGCAACUCACAAAAGUUAUAAAAGACAAUAAAAUGACUGUUAUUU